GUGUGUGUGUGUGUGUGUGUGUGUGUGUGUGUGUGUGUGUGUGUGUGUGUGUGUGUGUGACAAAGAAAUAGUAAUAAAUUAUGCUGGUUACUACCCCUGAUAACUUGCCCAAAUAAUCAUGCUUGAAAGAGUGUGAGUGUGUAUGUCAGAUAAAUAGAAAUGGUAGAUACUACUGUACCCCUAAUAAUUUGGUCAGAUAACCGUGUGUGUAUAGUAGGUGACAUGUCAAUGAUAGUUAUCUAAUAAUUAUAGUUAUGCUAGGUGAUGGUUUGGCUUAUCAUGUUCAUGUCUAUAUAGAAGUGGAGAGGACUCAGGGACAGGUAUCAGAGAGAGAAGGGCAGAGAAAGAGAAGAGGUCUGGAUCAGCAGCUUCAGGUCAGCAGCCUUGGCACUUCUGCCACAUUCUUUCUUUUCUGGAUCCAUUUAUUGUGCCUAGGGCAACAAGUGGCAAUUUUACAGCCAGACCCUCUACAUCAUCCACAAGUGUGGGCGCCACGGGUGCAUCAAGACUCUCUACGUCAUUAACAAGUGAGACCAGUCUCCACUGGUGCAGUGAGACCCUCUACAUCAUCCACAAGUGUGGGCGCCACGGGUGCAUCAAGACUCUCUACGUCAUUAACAAGUGAGACCAGUCUCCACCGGUGCAGUGAGACCCUCUACAUCAUCCACAAGUGUGGGCGCCACGGGUGCAUCAAGACUCUCUACGUCAUUAACAAGUGAGACCAGUCUCCACCGGUGCAGUGAGACCCUCUACAUCAUCCACAAGUGUGGGCGCCACGGGUGCAUCAAGACUCUCUACGUCAUUAACAAGUGAGACCAGUCUCCACCGGUGCAGUGAGACCCUCUACAUCAUCCACAAGUGUGGGCGCCACGGGUGCAUCAAGACUCUCUACGUCAUUAACAAGUGAGACCAGUCUCCACCGGUGCAGUGAGACCCUCUACAUCAUCCACAAGUGUGGGCGCCACGGGUGCAUCAAGACUCUCUACGUCAUUAACAAGUGAGACCAGUCUCCACCGGUGCAGUGAGACCCUCUACAUCAUCCACAAGUGUGGGCGCCACGGGUGCAUCAAGACUCUCUACGUCAUUAACAAGUGAGACCAGUCUCCACCGGUGCAGUGAGACCCUCUACAUCAUCCACAAGUGUGGGCGCCACGGGUGCAUCAAGACUCUCUACGUCAUUAACAAGUGAGACCAGUCUCCACCGGUGCAGUGAGACCCUCUACAUCAUCCACAAGUGUGGGCGCCACGGGUGCAUCAAGACUCUCUACGUCAUUAACAAGUGAGACCAGUCUCCACCGGUGCAGUGAGACCCUCUACAUCAUCCACAAAUAUGACCACCACCGGUGCAGCCAUGGAAGAUGAUGAAAUGGAGGAAGCACCUCUGGAUCUAUGACCACCUGAGAUUAUUAAGACCCUCACGGGAAGUGACCACUGAGGACCUUGUUGAACAGGAUGUGGCCGUGGAGAGAAACCAAGAGGACCAACGUCACACCAGGCGCCAUCGGCGGUACCAGCCCCCAGAUCCACUCAACUCAUUUUAGCAGAGGCUCCUCCAAGCCAUCGAGAAGGAUGCAGCCCAACCUGAUGCUCACAGGAAGGAGGAUGAAGAAACCUUCUUUGCCAUGAGCCUGGUUUUAACCCUGAAGAGGCUGCCUCAGCGAAGAAAAGCAGCAUUCAAGGUUAAAAUUCAUCAGCUGCUUUUCUAUGCUGAGUUCAAUGAGAUGGAGUCAAUUUAGCAGACCAGCUCAUAGGAAGGACAAGAAGAGGAGAUUGUCUGGUUGUUGUUUUGACCUUCUCCUCCAUGGGUUUUGAGCGGGAGGUAAGGAAAGGACGUGAGGAAUCAAGGAACUGCAACUGAGAUUUUCCCACUGUCCUCAACUGAGAUUUUGUAACUGUUCUUAUUGCGAUUACUAUGUCCUUGUUAGUAGUUUCUCAAUACUUAGGAUAGCAUUCAUUAUUAGUUGUACAUAGAUUGCAUGAAAAUUGACUGAAUUGAAACUGACACACCAGAGAAUUCAGAUGUUCUUGUUGUUCUUUUACAAGACUAAAGGUGAAAUAUGUGUUUACCUGUAUUGUGGCUCCAAAUUCACUUUUAGUUUUCAGACACACACCUCCUCCACUCCUCUAUGUACCUCAGAUCUCCAAUGCCCUGCCCUCUCUCUUUAUGGCCAUGUCUGAAGUUCCCCUACUAUGUCUAGGCUUUAUGAGUAGUCCCUGUAUCUGUCUGCAGUUAUGCCAAAAAUACAUGCUCUUGUUGUUCUCUUACAGAUUACACAUUCAUUUUUAUAUUUUUACAGGCACAUACAGUACACACACACCUCUCAAUAGUUUUUAUUUUUUGUAAUGUUUUUACAACAUAUACCUGUCAUGUUCUUUCCUGUACUUGAAUACUUAUUAAAUUAUGUUUUCAUCGUCA